CGGAGGGAUCAUUACCGAGUUUACAACUCCCAAACCCCUGUGAACAUACCACUUGUUGCCUCGGCGGAUCAGCCCGCUCCCGGUAAAACGGGACGGCCCGCCAGAGGACCCCUAAACUCUGUUUCUAUAUGUAACUUCUGAGUAAAACCAUAAAUAAAUCAAAACUUUCAACAACGGAUCUCUUGGUUCUGGCAUCGAUGAAGAACGCAGCAAAAUGCGAUAAGUAAUGUGAAUUGCAGAAUUCAGUGAAUCAUCGAAUCUUUGAACGCACAUUGCGCCCGCCAGUAUUCUGGCGGGCAUGCCUGUUCGAGCGUCAUUUCAACCCUCAAGCACAGCUUGGUGUUGGGACUCGCGUUAAUUCGCGUUCCCCAAAUUGAUUGGCGGUCACGUCGAGCUUCCAUAGCGUAGUAGUAAAACCCUCGUUACUGGUAAUCGUCGCGGCCACGCCGUUAAACCCCAACUUCUGAAUGUUGACCUCGGAUCAGGUAGGAAUACCCGCUGAACUUAAGCAU
rnacentral:misc_RNA from 1 species